AUCAUUUCAGGAGCAGUUCGUAUAGACUGUGCAUCCUAGAUCAGAUGUCUCAAACAAGAUGUUGAAAAUCUCAUCCAGGAGGCCUAAAGAAGUCCACCGGUUCAUAUAGAGAUGGAAAAAAUGAUGCUUUUUCUCCUGACAUGGAAGUGUUACAGCUGACUCACAAAUGUUCCUGCUCCUCCAGGACUGUGGCUGCUCUGUCCCAUUCCGACUUGAAAAAGUUUUGGGAAUGACCCUUGCUUAUAUCUUUAAGUAACAUAAUAUGUUAACUUUAAAAUACUUGCCUUUGUGUCAUGUCCCCCCUACAUUUAUUUAGAUCUUUCCCUUUCUCACUCCCACAAUUUUUCUAUCAUGAAAGACUUUCAAACACUUUCAAGCAACUUUCAAAAUACCAGCCUUUAUUACAACUAUUUAUUCUGUUGAUAUUGCUUUUCUCUUAUUUUAUUUUUCCUUUUUGACCUCAUAGAAUCACAGCAUAUGCUAAGUUGGAAGGAACUCAUUAGGAUCAUCAAG